rnacentral:lncRNA from 1 species
GAGUUGACCCCAAUGGGACCGAGUUGACCCCAAUGGGUUGGAGUUGACCCCAAUGGGUUGGAGUCGACCCCAAUGGGACGGAGUUGACUCCAAUGGGAUGGAGUUGACCCCAAUGGGACGGAGACGACCCCAAAGGGCUCUCCACCCCAAUGGGACGGAGUUGACCCCAAUGGGACGGAGUUGACCCCAAUGGGACGGAGACGACCCCAAUGGGAUGGGGACGACCCCAAUGGGACGGAGUUGACCCCAAUGGGACGGAGACGACCCCAAUGGGUUGCAGAUGAGCCCAAUGGGCUCUCCACCCCAAUGGGACGGAGUUGACCCCAAUGGGACGGAGUUGACCCCAAUGGGACGGAGAUAUCCCCAAUGGGCUCUCCAUCUCUAUGGGAUGGAGAUGAUCCCAGUGGGAAAGAGUUGACCCCAAUGGGACGGAGACGACCCCAAAGGUCUCUCCACCCCAAUGGGACGGAGUUGACCCCAAUGGGACGGAGUUGACCCCAAGGGGACCGAGUUGAC